rnacentral:rRNA from 1 species
UGCAGUCGAACGAUGAAGCUGGAGCUUGCUCCGGCCGAUUAGUGGCGAACGGGUGAGUAACACGUGAGCAAUCUGCCCUUGACUCUGGGAUAACUGCGGGAAACUGUAGCUAAUACCGGAUACUUUCCUCGCUGGGCAUCCAGCGGGGAAGAAAGAAUUUCGGUCAAGGAUGAGCUCGCGGCCUAUCAGCUAGUUGGUGAGGUAAAGGCUCACCAAGGCGACGACGGGUAGCCGGCCUGAGAGGGUGACCGGCCACACUGGAACUGAGACACGGUCCAGACUCCUACGGGAGGCAGCAGUGGGGAAUAUUGCACAAUGGGCGAAAGCCUGAUGCAGCAACGCCGCGUGAGGGAUGAAGGCCUUCGGGUUGUAAACCUCUUUUAGCAGGGAAGAAGCGAAAGUGACGGUACCUGCAGAAAAAGCACCGGCUAACUACGUGCCAGCAGCCGCGGUAAUACGUAGGGUGCAAGCGUUGUCCGGAAUUAUUGGGCGUAAAGAGCUCGUAGGCGGUUUGUCACGUCUGCUGUGAAAAUCCGAGGCUCAACCUCGGACUUGCAGUGGGUACGGGCAGGCUAGAGUGCGGUAGGGGAGAAGGGAAUUCCUGGUGUAGCGGUGGAAUGCGCAGAUAUCAGGAGGAACACCAAUGGCGAAGGCACUUCUCUGGGCCGUAACUGACGCUGAGGAGCGAAAGCGUGGGGAGCGAACAGGAUU